rnacentral:misc_RNA from 1 species
GAUCUGUCAAGUUGCAUGAACGAACAGUUUUGUUGUGUCUCUCGUAUCUCCCGUGUCGCAGCGCAUUGAUCCGCAUAUCGAAUCCUUUGUUUGUCCCUGUCGUGCUCGGUGUAUUGCUUCCGUUUCUGCGGGUUCAGCAAGUGCCAUACCCGCCUCGCACAACCUUCUCUUUUCGGGUCUUUUCACAGGCUGAUUCUUCUGCAGCCUCUGCUCGUCAUAGAAGCUGUCGCAGCUGUACGUAGAAGGCGACUUGAAAGAUGGGCACCUACAAGCGCAUCCGCUCCCAGUCGGCGUACGAGGAGGCGAGCGUGUCCGCCUUCGUAGACAGCUGCGUGGACUAUGCGAGCAACGUGACGUUCCACGCGGUGGAGAAAGGCCGUGCGCUGACUUCAAAGACGGGGCAGGUGCAGACGGUGCUCGUGCUGGGCACGGAUGCGCAGCUGAAGGAGAUGGCGACGGCGGCGGCGUGCCCGCACUACGAUGCGGCGGCGUGCGCUGCUGCUGCGACGGCGCCGGAGUCGCGUGCGCACGUCGUGAAGGUGACGGCGACAGUACGGCUGCUGAUCGGGAAGGUGCCGUCCGUCGCGUCGCGCCACAACUGCGCGUCGCGGCCGGACCAGGUGAGCGAAAUCGUGAAGCAGGCGAUGGCGGAGUGCCCCGCCGCGGACGCCGAGGCUGGGCUGGACAUCUACUACCUGGGCAGUGGCCACGAGGUGAGCGUGGCCGUCGCGAUUGCGCGGUCGUGCCGGCGGUCGUUCACUGCGAAGCGCGGGCACGCGGAGCAGAACUACCUGAACGUUGGCCGCCCGGUGCGCGUGGUGAUGCCGUCCGGCAAGACGGCGCAGCUCGCUGUGAUUGCGCAGUGCGUGCAGCUCUGCCAGCGGCUGGUGGACGCGCCGACGAACCUGCUGGACACGGUGACGUUCACGGAGAUCGCUGUGCGGUGGGCAGCGAAGCUGAAGGCCGCCGGCAUCGAUGUGUCCGCCGACGUGAUCGCUGGAGAGGAGCUCCGCGAGCGUGGGUACGGCGGUCUUUACGGUACCGGGAAGGCCGCUGAGUACCCGCCGCACCUUGUGACGCUGUCGUACAAGCCGAAGGCUGCUAUGCCACCCAAGGAUCGAAUUGCGCUUGUGGGCAAAGGCAUCGUGUACGACACCGGCGGCCUUGCGAUCAAGCCCCGCGACGGCAUGUGCACGAUGAAGCACGACAUGGGCGGUGCAGCGGCCGUGUUCUGCGGCUUGUUGUGCCUGGCGAUGCUGCGGGCGCCUAUUGAGGUGUCGAGCAUCUUGUGUCUCGCUGACAACGCCGUGGGCCCCCGGUCGCAGCGCAAUGACGACAUCCUGCGCAUGAAGUCCGGCGUCACCGUGGAGGUCAACAACACAGACGCCGAAGGCCGCCUUGUGCUCUCGGACGGUGUCUACCAUGCCUGCAAAGAGCUGAGCUACACGCCGAGCAUCAUUGUGGACAUGGCUACGCUGACAGGCGCGCAAGGCGUUGCCACUGGCCAGCACCACGCUGCCAUCUACACGAACUCAGAGGCCAGCGAGAACCGCUUCGUGGCCGCAGGCAAGGCGUGCGGCGACUUGUGUUUUCCAGUCGUGUACUGCCCUGAGUUUCACAACGCCGAGUUUGCCAGCGCUGUGGCCGAUUUCAGGAAUAGUGUAAAGAGCCGCGCCAAUGCACAGGUGAGCUGCGCGGGGCAGUUUAUUGGCAACAACCUGUCCAAGGACUACGAGGGCGAAUGGGUGCAUGUUGACCUGGCCGCGCCCGCGACCCGCGAUGAGGCCACGGGGUUUGGUGUCGCCUUGAUUGCGCAGACGUUUGCAGCGGAGCUGUUGUAGAUGGGAUUUUGCCGUCACGUCAAGCGACUAAGGGAGUGAGGGGCUGGCGUUCGCGGUCGUGGUGGAGCGGCCUCUGCGGAGCCACGGACCCCCCUCCUUCUCCCCCUUGUUCCUGUGGCCUAUCGGCCGAAAAAAAAAACACACACACGCAACCCUCUGUGCUGCAUCUGUCCUCGCGCCCUUUUCGUUGUUUUUUUUUUUAUUGCUUUUUUUAUUUCAGUGGGGUGGGCAUCGGUCGCGCUCCCUGAUGGUAUCUCUUACGCACUCCUCACUCAGGCCCCCCUCCCCUCCUCUCACGAAUCUCUGCUGCCGUUGCAGUGGCAGUUGCAGCUCUGCCUUGCUCCCUACCACUCCGCUCGAUGCGUACGAGGGAUGCUGCAGCGCCCCUCGUACACGUUACACCGCCGCGGGGUCUGCGCUGUCCAUUCGCGCAAGCUGAGCCGUAUCACUCCUCCCUCUUACCUCGCUCUUUUCUCUGCUCGCUUUUCUUUCCUUUGUGCCGAUCGGCGCAUGUGGGGACGGAGUACAG